GCGUGUCCGUGUCCUGGAGGAGACAACAGGUUGAUGAAGACAUUCUGAGGAAAACCUUUUCUCUCUGCCGGGACGUUUCUGUGGAGGAACAGGAAUCAGCCCUGGACCAAUCAGAGUGCAGCGUUUUGUCACAGCGAGGCCGACGCCUCGACGUGUUGCUGUGCCGUCGCCGUGGCAACGGGCUCAGCGGAUAAUCCCGUCAGAUGCCUGAGUGUUUGCACAUGGAUGGCCUCCACCAGCUGGCGCCACAAUCCGCUGGGGACGGCGGGACGUCCCUCCGCUGGACGCCCGGGGACAGAGGGACAGGAGGACGACCUUUGACCCCUCCACUCAGGUGAGGCCUGCUGCUCGUCAGGUCAGACCUGAAUCUCCAUUUCC